GCUCAAUUGAACCUUCAGAUGACUUGUCCUCAUAGUUGACUUUUGCAACCACAUGUGAGUCCCCAAGCAAGGACCACCCAGCUGACCCCAGUUAACCUACAGAGCCACAAGAGACAAAGAUUGAGAGAAGAUUUACUUGAUGGACCAGAGCAAUGUUGGCUGUGGAGCUGGAGUUUAUCUGGAGACUUUUCAACCAAGCUGCUAAGGAGAGCAAAGCACAAAAGCAUGUGUUCUGCCAAAGUAAUGUUUGACUUAACGAAACAAGCUGGACGUUGAAGAGGACACAGAUGGCAUACAUGGUAGCUUUGAGGCCAAGUUGAUUGGCACUAGUUAAACCCAAAGAAGGCUAUGUACAGGGCUUCCCAGGUGGUGCUAGUGAUAAAGAAUCUGCCUGCCAGUGC
ensembl:lncRNA